UACAGAGGGUGCGAGCGUUAAUCGGAAUUACUGGGCGUAAAGCGUGCGUAGGUGGCGCGACAAGUCAGUGGUGAAAGUUCGACGCUCAACGUCGAAUCGGCCACUGAUACUGUUGGGCUUGAGCACUGUAGAGGCUAAUGGAAUUCCGGGUGUAGCGGUGGAAUGCGUAGAGAUCCGGAAGAACACCGGUGGCGAAGGCGGUUAGCUGGGCAGUUGCUGACACUGAGGCGCGACAGCGUGGGGAGCAAACAGG
rnacentral:rRNA from 1 species